UCCAGAUUAUACUUAUACUUCUUCACGAAUGCUUCGCCCAAAUCAUUAAACAUGCGGAUGCUCGCACUAUCCAAUCCCAUGUACCACCUCAGAGCAGCACCAGUAAAAUUGUCUUAAAAAUAAUGGAUCAACAACUGAUCAUUAUCGGUUUGAGUAGACAUCUUUCUAGCAUACAUCACAAGAUGACUGAGUGAACAGGUAUUCCCUUUGUACUUUUCAAAGUCAGGGACUUUGAACUUCACUGAGAUUUUAACAUUUGGAACCAAACAAAGUUCCGCAGCAC
rnacentral:lncRNA from 1 species